UGUCCUGUGAAGCUCCUGCUGCUCCGUGGUCAGUCUCACCGGGAAAGGUGUACUGAGGUUCCACCAACCACAACCCUCUCUUGUGUGCUAGAUACAGUAGGGAAUAUCUCCUCGCAGCCCACGAGCCAGUAGCCAGUGAGUGCGAGAGAGAUGGUAAUACAGUGAAUGGGAACGUGCAACACACUAGAGAAGUUAUCCUGUGUGUGUGUGUGGGUUCUGCGGUUUUCUCAGCUCAAGUCAACAAGAUCUAUUGAGCCGUAGACUACGACACGGAAGAGGAGCUCACUGGCCCUGUGUCGCAUUAAAAUCACUGUAAGAAGACAUCUACCUCUUUCUGUGAGUAAUGCUAAUUUGGAGAAAAUUGGACUGAGCGCAUUUGCCCUGAAAUUGCUGAAAAUGAAACCUUUGCCUUUGACACUUAUAUCAUUGACCAGCCAUCAAAUGACUUUAAUGAGGUAGAGGCAAAAAGUGGUUCAAUUAACAAUGGUGAGGAAGAGUAUGUAGAAGCUGAGACUCUGGAACAUAAAAUUGCAUCUCUUUUUUGAUGGUGAUGAAUGUUGAAAUUGGUUGUCAGAUGUACAUGUACACUAUUUUAAAUGCCUGUUUUAAAAGAAUGAUACUUGAAUGAUACAGUCAUGUGUUUCUUUAAUGUUUGUUGAAAAUAAACAUGGAAAUUGAA